UUCUGUUCGUCUUUCUUUCCUCUACAUGUCGACUCUUUUUUCAUGUCAAUAAAAAGUAAAAAUUUAAUCUCGUUAUAAUAAGAUACACUACUGAUUCUUAACCUGUUUUCUUCGGAUUCCCAAGUAUUCUUCAUUGGCAAGGAUGUCGAGGAAGAAGCAAGACCCGUUAGUACAACACAUAAAUUCAACUGUCUAAGACUUCAACAUAGAGAUCAUUCAUAAAUUUCUAUUUUUUCCACCUCAAACCAAGCUGAAGAGAAUAGGUAUUCCGUCUUCAUUGCCUGAAAACAUCAAACAGGAACUAUAUGAUAUUAUCUCAUUCUCAUAGAGAACAAACGUUGGCAAGCCCAAUAAAUGAAUAGAAAGAACUUCAUAACGAACACUAAUCAUUAUUGGUCACUUGCAACUCAGGAAUCAAGCAUAAACUAAAGAACCCAAAAAGGACUUGCAACAUGUGUAUGCCAAAAACAUCAAUUCAAAGGAUACAAACAGAAGAAGAGACAUACAACACAAAGCUUCUUAGUGCUCUUCACAUCAUAUUUCAGAC
rnacentral:lncRNA from 1 species